rnacentral:miRNA from 1 species
AUAUUUAUAGGUGAUAGUUGUAAAAAAAUUGGGAAUGGGUGGUAUUUUUAGUUAAAAUUAUGAAAAGGGUGGCAUUUUAAGCUAUUUCCCUAAAAUGCCACCCAUUUCAUAAUUUUAGCUAAAAAUACCACCCUUUCCCAAUUUUUUUACAACUAUAACCUAUAAAUAU